CAAGUCGGACGGGACAUUUUUCGUAGCAAUACGAAGAAUGUUCAGUGGCGUAAGGGUGCGUAACACGUGGGCAAUCUGCCGAGAAGUGGGGGAUAGCUCGCCGAAAGGCGAAUUAAUACCGCAUGUGACUAGAGGAGACAUCUUCUUGACGUCAAAGUCGGGGCAACCUGACGCUUCUUGAUGAGCCCGCGGCCUAUCAGCUAGUUGGUGAGGUAACGGCUCACCAAGGCGAUGACGGGUAGCUGGUCUGAGAGGACGACCAGCCACACUGGAACUGAGACACGGUCCAGACACCUACGGGUGGCAGCAGUCGAGAAUUUUUCUCAAUGGGGGAAACCCUGAAGGAGCGACGCCGCGUGGAGGAUGAAGGUCUUCGGAUUGUAAACUCCUGUCAUUAGGGAACAAUUGUCGCCGAGUAACUAUCGGCGGCUUGAUAGUACCUGAAGAGGAAGAGACGGCUAACUCUGUGCCAGCAGCCGCGGUAAUACAGAGGUCUCAAGCGUUGUUCGGAUUCAUUGGGCGUAAAGGGUGCGUAGGUGGUGGGGUAAGUCGGAUGUGAAAUCCCGGGGCUCAACCCCGGAACUGCAUUCGAUACUGCCUUGCUCGAGUACUGGAGAGGAGACUGGAAUUUACGGUGUAGCAGUGAAAUGCGUAGAUAUCGUAAGGAAGACCAGUGGCGAAGGCGAGUCUCUGGACAGUUACUGACACUGAGGCACGAAGGCCAGGGGAGCAAACGGGAUUAGAUACCCCGGUAGUCCUGGCAGUAAACGGUGCGCGUUUGGUGUGGGAGGAUUCGACCCCUUCCGUGCC
rnacentral:rRNA from 1 species